CAGAGCACAUUUAACCAGACAGAGUACUGGAUUUCAAUACCGUCAACUCCAGAAAGCAAAAGCUACUCCAGGUCACCCAGCUGGCCUCCUUGGAGAAGGAGGAGGCAGAGGAGUGAUUCCUGCUGGGGGAAGCAGCACGCACACACCUGACAGCCCUGGAGCACAUUCCCUGAGCAGGAGCCAGAAAAGCCCUGCAUCUUCAUUACCUUCCCCUCGAGCCAUCUGGUCUCCCAACCUGACCUUUUUAAGAAAGAUUGGUUAAAAAAACUGGAGCAGUCCCUGAACAGAAGACCUUGUGUGUCAUGUUUAAGCCCAGAGCAAAUUUUUAUGUCCAAGCUGUGAAACCUUGAAAAUAAAGAUUUAUAAUUGAGA